GGACAUCUCAGUUAGUCUGCUCUGGAGGGUUGCUUCGGAUUUCUCUUCUCUGCCCAAUUUCUGCAGUCCUCUCGAAUAACCAACGUAUUCUGCCUUAAUACGAUCUGCGCCUCCACACUACUCUGAUCUGCCCAGUCAAGCCACGUGUCUUGAUCCUAAAGGCCCACAUACUCCACUCCUCAUCACCAUCAAUUUGGUUUUGUUGAAGGAUUGAAGGUAUAUAAAUGUUCUUUAUUUUUCUUGAAAUUUGUGAAGCAUAUAUAUACAUAUAUAAUUAGGGUUUUGAUUUUAUGUCUAUUAUUGUAAGAUUAAGGGCUUAAAUCCCAUGUUGCGGCCAGAAUUUGAUUUGAUUUGUUGAACUCGUUUCUUAUGGUUAAAAUGUAAGAAUAUUUAUUUUCAAUUUUUCUGUGUAUAGUUUAGUGUUUCUUGUGUUUCAAUAUUAAGUUUCAUAAAUUUUAGUGNGCAAACUUAUAAUACACGAUGUAUAACUCCCUGUUCGUUUGAUAUUUUUGAAUACUAUUUUAUUUUUAUUGAAACCAGACAUUCAUAGGUUUCUGGAAACAUAUGGCUUAUAUUUUUAUCUAUUGUAUACAAUAAUAUACAAAUUUUCCAAAUGAAUUAGUUUGCAGCGGUGUACUAUUGGUCAGUCAUUUUGAUAAAUGUUUCACAAGUUAUUUCAAGGGUCAUAUAAUGGUUAUAUUAUUCUAAAACUUUUCCCAUAUUACCUAUAAUAUUUUGUGAUCUCUUGGUUUAAAUUUCAGCCGCAUUUUAUGAGAUUUGAUGAUGAGUAAAAUAUGCACCAGCGCUGUGCAAUAUCAGGGCCAAAAUUAUUAUUAUUAUUAUUAUUAUUAUUAUUAUUAUUAUUAUUAUUAUUAUUAUUUGAUAUUUUGUGCAGCUUUGACUAAUACAGGGUUGAUUUGAUGGGGCAUCGGGGUUCGAAUAUUCUUUCGAAGGAAAGGGAACUCAGCUUUGGCAACCCAGCCUUGGCUCCCAACUUUAACGACUCAUCUCUGCUUCGACUUUGACAGUCCAGCUCUGCAUUAGCCUCGACGACUCAGCUCUAAGACAAAGACCAUUGUAAUAAAGACUUAGGCCCAAUUAUUUGAAUUAAUGGGCUUUAGGGGUCAAAUGAGCCAAGUUUACUUUAUAGCAUAUAAAUAGGACUCUCUUUAAUCUCUCAAUUUGGUACAUAUAAACUCUCACCAAGUAUAGUGAAAAACUCCGACAACCUCUCGUGGAUGUAGAUCUUCAUGAUCAAACCACGUAAAUCUAGUGUUCUUUAUCGCUUUUCUUUAAUCCGUU
rnacentral:lncRNA from 1 species